CAGCCGCCACGGUAAUACGUAGGUGGCAAGCGUUGUCCGGAAUUAUUGGGCGUAAAGCGCGCGCAGGCGGAUAGGUCAGUCUGUCUUAAAAGUUCGGGGCUUAACCCCGUGAUGGGAUGGAAACUGCCAAUCUAGAGUAUCGGAGAGGAAAGUGGAAUUCCUAGUGUAGCGGUGAAAUGCGUAGAUAUUAGGAAGAACACCAGUGGCGAAGGCGACUUUCUGGACGAAAACUGACGCUGAGGCGCGAAAGCCAGGGGAGCGAACGGGAUUAGAUACCCCUGUAGUCCCUGUCUCUUAUACA
rnacentral:rRNA from 1 species